AAUGAAUUGCCUGAUGAAAAGGA
rnacentral:tRNA from 1 species